rnacentral:rRNA from 1 species
UACGAAGGGUGCAAGCGUUACUCGGAAUUACUGGGCGUAAAGCGUGCGUAGGUGGUUUGUUAAGUCUGUUGUGAAAGCCCCGGGCUCAACCUGGAGACGCCACUUGAUACUUCAAUGACUUGAGUUCGGUAGGGGACCAUGGAAUUCCUGGUGUAGCGGUGAAAUGCGCAGAUAUCAGGAGGAACACCGAUGGCGAAGGCAGGUCUCUGGGCAUUAACUGACGCUGAGGAGCGAAAGCAUGGGGAGCGAACAGG